rnacentral:lncRNA from 1 species
UGCCAACCUCUGACACAUCAAUCAAACUCAAUGGCCUAUAAUCUUCCCCAUUUGCAGAACUUUCUAUCACUUAUAAGCACGAUAGUAACAUUAUCUCAUCUGAUAUUACAAGCACAUUUGUGUUAUGAUUUUCAACAUCCUCAAUUUACAGGAAGAGACUCAUUCUGGUGUAGUCAUGCCCCAUUGAACAGAGCCAAACCUGGAUAUAAUUAUUUCCUCUGAAGUGAAAGAGGCCUAAUAUGGAAGAAG